GUUAAGCGACUAAGCGUACACGGUGGAUGCCCUGGCAGUCAGAGGCGAUGAAGGACGUGCUAAUCUGCGAUAAGCGUCGGUAAGGUGAUAUGAACCGUUAUAACCGGCGAUUUCCGAAUGGGGAAACCCAGUGUGUUUCGACACACUAUCAUUAACUGAAUCCAUAGGUUAAUGAGGCGAACCGGGGGAACUGAAACAUCUAAGUACCCCGAGGAAAAGAAAUCAACCGAGAUUCCCCCAGUAGCGGCGAGCGAACGGGGAGCAGCCCAGAGCCUGAAUCAGUGUGUGUGUUAGUGGAAGCGUCUGGAAAGGCGCGCGAUACAGGGUGACAGCCCCGUACACAAAAAUGCACAUGCUGUGAGCUCGAUGAGUAGGGCGGGACACGUGGUAUCCUGUCUGAAUAUGGGGGGACCAUCCUCCAAGGCUAAAUACUCCUGACUGACCGAUAGUGAACCAGUACCGUGAGGGAAAGGCGAAAAGAACCCCGGCGAGGGGAGUGAAAAAGAACCUGAAACCGUGUACGUACAAGCAGUGGGAGCACGCUUAGACGUGUGACUGCGUACCUUUUGUAUAAUGGGUCAGCGACUUAUAUUCUGUAGCAAGGUUAACCGAAUAGGGGAGCCGAAGGGAAACCGAGUCUUAACUGGGCGUUAAGUUGCAGGGUAUAGACCCGAAACCCGGUGAUCUAGCCAUGGGCAGGUUGAAGGUUGGGUAACACUAACUGGAGGACCGAACCGACUAAUGUUGAAAAAUUAGCGGAUGACUUGUGGCUGGGGGUGAAAGGCCAAUCAAACCGGGAGAUAGCUGGUUCUCCCCGAAAGCUAUUUAGGUAGCGCCUCGUGAAUUCAUCUCCGGGGGUAGAGCACUGUUUCGGCAAGGGGGUCAUCCCGACUUACCAACCCGAUGCAAACUGCGAAUACCGGAGAAUGUUAUCACGGGAGACACACGGCGGGUGCUAACGUCCGUCGUGAAGAGGGAAACAACCCAGACCGCCAGCUAAGGUCCCAAAGUCAUGGUUAAGUGGGAAACGAUGUGGGAAGGCCCAGACAGCCAGGAUGUUGGCUUAGAAGCAGCCAUCAUUUAAAGAAAGCGUAAUAGCUCACUGGUCGAGUCGGCCUGCGCGGAAGAUGUAACGGGGCUAAACCAUGCACCGAAGCUGCGGCAGCGACGCUUAUGCGUUGUUGGGUAGGGGAGCGUUCUGUAAGCCUGCGAAGGUGUGCUGUGAGGCAUGCUGGAGGUAUCAGAAGUGCGAAUGCUGACAUAAGUAACGAUAAAGCGGGUGAAAAGCCCGCUCGCCGGAAGACCAAGGGUUCCUGUCCAACGUUAAUCGGGGCAGGGUGAGUCGACCCCUAAGGCGAGGCCGAAAGGCGUAGUCGAUGGGAAACAGGUUAAUAUUCCUGUACUUGGUGUUACUGCGAAGGGGGGACGGAGAAGGCUAUGUUGGCCGGGCGACGGUUGUCCCGGUUUAAGCGUGUAGGCUGGUUUUCCAGGCAAAUCCGGAAAAUCAAGGCUGAGGCGUGAUGACGAGGUACUACGGUGCUGAAGCAACAAAUGCCCUGCUUCCAGGAAAAGCCUCUAAGCAUCAGGUAACAUCAAAUCGUACCCCAAACCGACACAGGUGGUCAGGUAGAGAAUACCAAGGCGCUUGAGAGAACUCGGGUGAAGGAACUAGGCAAAAUGGUGCCGUAACUUCGGGAGAAGGCACGCUGAUAUGUAGGUGAAGUCCCUCGCGGAUGGAGCUGAAAUCAGUCGAAGAUACCAGCUGGCUGCAACUGUUUAUUAAAAACACAGCACUGUGCAAACACGAAAGUGGACGUAUACGGUGUGACGCCUGCCCGGUGCCGGAAGGUUAAUUGAUGGGGUCAGCGCAAGCGAAGCUCUUGAUCGAAGCCCCGGUAAACGGCGGCCGUAACUAUAACGGUCCUAAGGUAGCGAAAUUCCUUGUCGGGUAAGUUCCGACCUGCACGAAUGGCGUAAUGAUGGCCAGGCUGUCUCCACCCGAGACUCAGUGAAAUUGAACUCGCUGUGAAGAUGCAGUGUACCCGCGGCAAGACGGAAAGACCCCGUGAACCUUUACUAUAGCUUGACACUGAACAUUGAGCCUUGAUGUGUAGGAUAGGUGGGAGGCUUUGAAGUGUGGACGCCAGUCUGCAUGGAGCCGACCUUGAAAUACCACCCUUUAAUGUUU
rnacentral:rRNA from 1 species